rnacentral:rRNA from 1 species
GACGAACGCUGGCGGCGUGCUUAACACAUGCAAGUCGAACGGAAAGGCCCCCUUGUGGGGUACUCGAGUGGCGAACGGGUGAGUAACACGUGAGUAACCUACCCUUGACUUUGGGAUAACUUCAGGAAACUGGGGCUAAUACCGGAUAGGAGCUCCUGCUGCAUGGUGGGGGUUGGAAAGUUUCGGCGGUUGGGGAUGGACUCGCGGCUUAUCAGCUUGUUGGUGGGGUAGUGGCUCACCAAGGCUUUGACGGGUAGCCGGCCUGAGAGGGUGACCGGCCACAUUGGGACUGAGAUACGGCCCAGACUCCUACGGGAGGCAGCAGUGGGGAAUAUUGCACAAUGGGCGGAAGCCUGAUGCAGCAACGCCGCGUGCGGGAUGACGGCCUUCGGGUUGUAAACCGCUUUCGCCUGUGACGAAGCGUGAGUGACGGUAAUGGGUAAAGAAGCACCGGCUAACUACGU